UGACGUCCAUAUCACGUUGAAACACCGGUUCUAGUACAAUCACCGAAGUUAAGCAACGCCGAGCCUGUUCAGUAACUAGAUAGGUGACCGCUUAAGAAUAUUAGAUGCUGUAUG